rfam:Aphanomyces invadans strain NJM9701 unplaced genomic scaffold supercont1.14, whole genome shotgun sequence.
GGUUGCGAUUGUUUAAUAAAGACACAGGACUGUGCUAAAUCGUAAGAUGACAUAUGGGGUCGGGUGCUGGAAGAUUCAAAGGAGAGGUUUGCACGUUGAAUGCAAGUCCCAGUAAACGGCGACCGCAUCUCUGACGGUCCUAAGGAAGCGAUUUUCCUUGUCAGGCUUACAGGUGUCGUUUGCC